AAACCGUUCGGGGGAAAACGGACAGAGCCCGUGAAUCCGGACGGCAGAAUUCAGAACUGACGGCUUCGCGGUCGCCAGUUUGAUAUUUCUGUCGUCGCUGAGUUUACGGACGUCGCGACCCGUUUGGCGUCGGUCUUAGGAGACGCGUUUCACGUUCGUUGACGCGUCGUCGACUCGUUCGGCGCGCGUUGCGAGUACGCGUUCGUGUUCCGGCCGACUCGCCAGACGGUACGUGUGCGGGUGACCGUGGCGGCCUUUUUUGAAGCGUCGUCUACGGUGCCGGUCUGCGACGAAUCUUCGGGUCUCUUUCCGA
rnacentral:rRNA from 1 species